rnacentral:rRNA from 1 species
UACGUAGGGGGCAAGCGUUGUCCGGAAUUAUUGGGCGUAAAGAGCGCGUAGGCGGUCCGGUAAGUCGGUUGUGAAAGUCGGGGGCUCAACCCUCGGAUGCCGAUCGAUACUGUCGGGCUAGAGUACGGAAGAGGCGAGUGGAAUUCCUGGUGUAGCGGUGAAAUGCGCAGAUAUCAGGAGGAACACCAAUUGCGAAGGCAGCUCGCUGGGACGUUACUGACGCUGAGACGCGAAAGCGUGGGGAGCAAACAGG